rnacentral:rRNA from 1 species
GGCGUUAUCCGGAUUUAUUGGGUUUAAAGGGAGCGUAGGCCGUUUGGUAAGCGUGUUGUGAAAUGUCGGGGCUCAACCUGGGCAUUGCAGCGCGAACUGCCAGACUUGAGUGCGCAGGAAGUAGGCGGAAUUCGUCGUGUAGCGGUGAAAUGCUUAGAUAUGACGAAGAACUCCGAUUGCGAAGGCAGCCUGCUGUAGCGCAACUGACGCUGAAGCUCGAAAGCGUGGGUAUCGAACAGGAUUAGAUACCCUGGUAGUCCACGCGGUAAACGAUGGAUGCUCGCUGUUUGCGUCUGACGUAAGCGGCCAAGCGAAAGCGUUAAGCAUCCCACCUGGGGAGUACGCCGGCAACGGUGAAACUCAAAGGAAUUGACGGGGGCCCGCACAAGCGGAGGAACAUGUGGUUUAAUUCGAUGAUACGCGAGGAACCUUACCCGGGCUUGAACUGUAGGUGAACGAUUCAGAGAUGAUGAGGCCCUUCGGGGCGCCUAUGGAGGUGCUGCAUGGUUGUCGUCAGCUCGUGCCGUGAGGUGUCGGCUUAAGUGCCAUAACGAGCGCAACCCUUGUUCGUAGUUGCCAUCGGGUGAUGCCGGGCACUCUGCGAAGACUGCCUCCGUAAGGAGUGAGGAAGGUGGGGAUGACGUCAAAUCAGCACGGCCCUUACGUCCGGGGCUACACACGUGUUACAAUGGCAUGUACAGAAAGCAGGGUGUAUGCAAAUACGCUCGAAUCCCUAAAACAUGUCUCAGUUCGGACUGGGGUCUGCAACCCGACCCCACGAAGCUGGAUUCGCUAGUAAUCGCGCAUCAGCCAUGGCGCGGUGAAUACGUUCCCGGGCCUUGUACACACCGCCCGUCAAGCCAUGAAAGCCGGGGGCGCCUAAAGUCCGUGACCGCGAGGGUCGGCCUAGGGUGAAACCGGUGAUUGGGGCUAAGUCGUAACAAGGUAGCCGUACCGGAAGGUGCGGCUG